rnacentral:rRNA from 1 species
CAGUCGCCGCGGUAAUGCGUAGGGCGCAAGCGUUAUCCGGAAUUAUUGGGCGUAAAGAGCUCGUAGGCGGUUUGUCGCGUCUGCCGUGAAAGUCCGGGGCUCAACCCCGGAUCUGCGGUGGGUACGGGCAGACUAGAGUGAUGUAGGGGAGACUGGAAUUCCUGGUGUAGCGGUGAAAUGCGCAGAUAUCAGGAGGAACACCGAUGGCGAAGGCAGGUCUCUGGGCAUUAACUGACGCUGAGGAGCGAAAGCAUGGGGAGCGAACAGGAUUAGAUACCCCAGUAGUCCCUGUCUCUUAUAC